rnacentral:rRNA from 1 species
AUUGAACGCUGGCGGCAUGCCUUACACAUGCAAGUCGAACGGCAGCACGGGAGCAAUCCUGGUGGCGAGUGGCGAACGGGUGAGUAAUGUAUCGGAACGUGCCCAGUCGUGGGGGAUAACGUAGCGAAAGCUACGCUAAUACCGCAUACGAUCUAUGGAUGAAAGCGGGGGACCGUAAGGCCUCGCGCGAUUGGAGCGGCCGAUAUCAGAUUAGGUAGUUGGUGGGGUAAAGGCCUACCAAGCCGACGAUCUGUAGCUGGUCUGAGAGGACGACCAGCCACACUGGGACUGGGACACGGCCCAGACUCCUACGGGAGUCAGCAGUGGGGAAUUUUGGACAAUGGGCGCAAGCCUGAUCCAGCAAUGCCGCGUGCAGGAUGAAGGCCUUCGGGUUGUAAACUGCUUUUGUACGGAGCGAAAAGGCUCUCUCUAAUACAGGGGGCUCAUGACGGUACCGUAAGAAUAAGCACCGGCUAACUACGUGCCAGCCGCCGCCGUAACAC